rnacentral:rRNA from 1 species
AGUAAUGCCUAGGAAUCUGCCUGGUAGUGGGGACAACGUUUCGAAAGGAACGCUAAUACCGCAUACGUCCUACGGGAGAAAGCAGGGGACCUUCGGGCCUUGCGCUAUCAGAUGAGCCUAGGUCGGAUUAGCUAGUUGGUGAGGUAAUGGCUCACCAAGGCGACGAUCCGUAACUGGUCUGAGAGGAUGAUCAGUCACACUGGAACUGAGACACGGUCCAGACUCCUACGGGAGGCAGCAGCU